rnacentral:rRNA from 1 species
GAGUUUGAUCCUGGCUCAGAUUGAACGCUGGCGGCAGGCCUAACACAUGCAAGUCGAGCGGUAGAGAGAAGCUUGCUUCUCUUGAGAGCGGCGGACGGGUGAGUAAUGCCUAGGAAUCUGCCUGGUAGUGGGGGAUAACGUUCGGAAACGGACGCUAAUACCGCAUACGUCCUACGGGAGAAAGCAGGGGACCUUCGGGCCUUGCGCUAUCAGAUGAGCCUAGGUCGGAUUAGCUAGUUGGUGAGGUAAUGGCUCACCAAGGCGACGAUCCGUAACUGGUCUGAGAGGAUGAUCAGUCACACUGGAACUGAGACACGGUCCAGACUCCUACGGGAGGCAGCAGUGGGGAAUAUUGGACAAUGGGCGAAAGCCUGAUCCAGCCAUGCCGCGUGUGUGAAGAAGGUCUUCGGAUUGUAAAGCACUUUAAGUUGGGAGGAAGGGUACUUACCUAAUACGUGAGUAUUUUGACGUUACCGACAGAAUAAGCACCGGCUAACUCUGUGCCAGCAGCCGCGGUAAUACAGAGGGUGCAAGCGUUAAUCGGAAUUACUGGGCGUAAAGCGCGCGUAGGUGGUUCGUUAAGUUGGAUGUGAAAUCCCCGGGCUCAACCUGGGAACUGCAUCCAAAACUGGCGAGCUAGAGUAUGGUAGAGGGUGGUGGAAUUUCCUGUGUAGCGGUGAAAUGCGUAGAUAUAGGAAGGAACACCAGUGGCGAAGGCGACCACCUGGACUGAUACUGACACUGAGGUGCGAAAGCGUGGGGAGCAAACAGGAUUAGAUACCCUGGUAGUCCACGCCGUA